rfam:Schistosoma haematobium scaffold492_5, whole genome shotgun sequence.
AUUUAGCUGACGUGUCCCAAAUCAGACAAAACGCGCGUCCUGGAU